rnacentral:rRNA from 1 species
GACGAACGCUGGCGGCGUGCCUAAUACAUGCAAGUCGAGCGCAGGAAGCUCACGGAACUCUUCGGAGGGAAGUGAAGGGAAUGAGCGGCGGACGGGUGAGUAACACGUAAGGAACCUGCCCCAAGGAUUGGGAUAACUCCGAGAAAUCGGAGCUAAUACCGAAUAGUUCUUCAGACCGCAUGGUCUGAUGAUGAAAGGCGCUCCGGCGUCACCUUGGGAUGGCCUUGCGGUGCAUUAGCUAGUUGGUGGGGUAAUGGCCCACCAAGGCGACGAUGCAUAGCCGACCUGAGAGGGUGAUCGGCCACACUGGGACUGAGACACGGCCCAGACUCCUACGGGAGGCAGCAGUAGGGAAUCUUCCACAAUUGACGAAAGUCUGAUGGAGCAACGCCGCGUGAGUGAUGAAGGUUUUCGGAUCGUAAAACUCUGUUGUAAGGGAAGAACAGGUAUGAUAGGUAAUGCUCAUGCUAUGACGGUACCUUACGAGAAAGCCACGGCUAACUACGUGCCAGCCGCCGCAGUAACAC